UACGUAGGGUGCGAGCGUUAAUCGGAAUUACUGGGCGUAAAGCGUGCGCAGGCGGUUGUGUAAGUCAGAUGUGAAAUCCCCGGGCUCAACCUGGGAACUGCAUUUGAGACUGCACGGCUAGAGUGUGACAGAGGGGGGUAGAAUUCCACGUGUAGCAGUGAAAUGCGUAGAGAUGUGGAGGAAUACCGAUGGCGAAGGCAGCCCCCUGGGUUACUACUGACGCUCAUGCACGAAAGCGUGGGGAGCAAACAGGAUUAGAUACCCUGGUAGUCCACGCCCUAAACGAUGUCAACUGGAUGUUGGAGGGGUUAAACUCUUUAGUGUCGUAGCUAACGCGAGAAGUUGACCGCCUGGGGAGUACGGCCGCAAGGCUAAAACUCAAAGGAAUUGACGGGGACCCGCACAAGCGGUGGAUGAUGUGGAUUAAUUCGAUGCAACGCGAAAAACCUUACCUACCCUUGACAUGUCAGGAAUCCUGGAGAGAUCUGGGAGUGCUCGAAAGAGAGCCUGAACACAGGUGCUGCAUGGCUGUCGUCAGCUCGUGUCGCGAGAUGUUGGGUUAAGUCCCGCAACGAGCGCAACCCUUGUCGUUAAUUGCCAUCAUUGAGUUGGGCACUUUAAUGAGACUGCCGGUGACAAACCGGAGGAAGGUGGGGAUGACGUCAAGUCCUCAUGGCCCUUAUGGGUAGGGCUUCACACGUCAUACAAUGGUCGGUUCAGAGGGUUGCCAAGCCGCGAGGUGGAGCCAAUCUCAGAAAGCCGAUCGUAGUCCGGAUUGCAGUCUGCAACUCGACUGCAUGAAGUCGGAAUCGCUAGUAAUCGCGGAUCAGCAUGUCGCGGUGAAUACGUUCCCGGGUCU
rnacentral:rRNA from 1 species